rnacentral:rRNA from 1 species
GACGAACGCUGGCGGCGUGCUUAACACAUGCAAGUCGAACGGAAAGGCCCGGCUGUUGUGGUGUGCUCGAGUGACGAACGGAUGGGUAACACGUGAGUAACCUGCCCGUGACUUUGGGGGAGCUUCAGGAAACAGGGGCUAAUACCUGAUAGAAGCGCCUGCUUCAUGGCGUGGGGUGGAGAUGUUCGGCGGUUGGGGAUGGACUGGCGUCUUAGCAGCUCGUGGGUGGGGUAGUGGAUUACCAAGGCGUUGACGGGGAGCCGGCCUGAGAGGGUGACCCGCCCCAUUGGCCCUGAGAUACGGCCCAGAGUCAUACGGCAGGAAGAAGUGGGGAUUAUUCCACAAUAGGCCGAAGCAUGAUGCACCGACGUCGCGUGCGGGAUGUCGGCUUUUGGGUUCUAAACCGCUUCCGCCUGUGACGAAGCGUGAGUGACGGUAACGGAUAAAAAAGCAACGGCUAACUACGUG